AUUGAACGCUGGCGGCAGGCCUAACACAUGCAAGUCGAACGAGUGGCGGACGGGUGAGUAAUGUCUGGGAAACUGCCUGAUGGAGGGGGAUAACUACUGGAAACGGUCGCUAAUACCGCAUACCCUCAGAUGUGCCCAGUUGGGAUUAGCUUGUUGGUGGGGUAACGGCUCACCAAGACGAAGAUCCCUAGAGGGUCUGAGAGGAUGACCAGCCACACUGGAACUGGAAACCGGUCCAGCUCCGUACGGGGGGCAGAAGUGGGGAAUAUUGCACAAUGGGCGCAAGCCUGAUGCAGCCAGGCCGCGUGUAGGAAGAAGGCCUUCGGGUUGUAAAGUACUUUCAGCGGGGAGUCGUUACCCGCAGAAGAAGCACCGGCUAACUCCGUGCCAGCAGCCGCGGUAAUAC
rnacentral:rRNA from 1 species